rnacentral:rRNA from 1 species
CCUACGGGUGGCAGCAGUGAGGAAUAUUGGUCAAUGGACGAGAGUCUGAACCAGCCAAGUAGCGUGAAGGAUGACUGCCCUAUGGGUUGUAAACUUCUUUUAUAUGGGAAUAAAACGUUCCACGUGUGGGAUUUUGUAUGUACCAUAUGAAUAAGGAUCGGCUAACUCCGUGCCAGCAGCCGCGGUAAUAUGGAGGAUCCGAGCGUUAUCCGGAUUUAUUGGGUUUAAAGGGAGCGUAGGUGGAUUGUUAAGUCAGUUGUGAAAGUUUGCGGCUCAACCGUAAAAUUGCAGUUGAAACUGGCAGUCUUGAGUACAGUAGAGGUGGGCGGAAUUCGUGGUGUAGCGGUGAAAUGCUUAGAUAUCACGAAGAACUCCGAUUGCGAAGGCAGUUCACUGGACUGCAACUGACACUGAGGCUCGAAAGUGUGGGUAUCAAACAGGAGUAGAUACCCUUGUAGUC